rnacentral:rRNA from 1 species
UACAGAGGAGCCAAGCGUUGUCCGGAUUGACUGGGCGUAAAGCGCACGCAGGCGGAUGCGCGCGUGGGGUGUGAAAUCUGGCCGCUUAACGGCCAGGCGCCAUCCCAUACGGCGCGACUGGAGUGAUGCAGAGGUCGAUGGAAUUGCCGGUGUAGCGGUGAAAUGCGUAGAUAUCGGAAGGAACAUCAGUGGCGAAAGCGGCUUCCUGGACCAGCACCGACGUUCAGGCACGAAAGCGUGGGGAGCAAACAGG